GAUUUGAUAUCCAGGUUUGGGGUUACGUUUCGGCCGUAGUUGUUGGAGUAUUUUUCUUCUAUCAAAGGU
rnacentral:tRNA from 1 species